rnacentral:rRNA from 1 species
AGCGAACGCUGGCGGCAGGCCUAACACAUGCAAGUCGAACGGACCCUUCGGGGUUAGUGGCGGACGGGUGAGUAACACGUGGGAACGUGCCUUUAGGUUCGGAAUAGCUCCUGGAAACGGGUGGUAAUGCCGAAUGUACCCUUCGGGGGAAAGAUUUAUCGCCUUUAGAGCGGCCCGCGUCUGAUUAGCUAGUUGGUUGG